AGGGGCGGGAGAAGGCCAGCAGGAGGGCGACACUGCGGAAAUGUCUUUCCUCCAGGACCCAAGUUUCUUCACCAUGGGGUUGUGGUCCAUUGGUGCGGGAGCCCUGGGGGCUGCUGCCUUGGCAUUGCUGCUGGCCAACACAGACAUGUUUCUGUCCAAGCCCCAGAAAACAGCACUGAAGUACCUGGAGGAUAUUGACCUGAAAGCACUAGAGAAUGAACCAAGGACUUUGAAAGCAAAGGAUCUAUGGGAAAAAAAUGGAGCUGUGAUUAUGGCUGUGCGGAGGCCAGGCUGUUUCCUCUGUCCAGACGAAGCUGCGGAUCUGUCCUCCCUGAAACCCAAGUUGGACGAGCUUGGUGGCCCCCUCUAUGCAGUGGUAAAGGAGCACAUCAAGACUGAAGUGAAGGAUUUCCAGCCUUAUUUCAAAGGAGAAAUCUUCCUGGAUGAAAAGAAAAAGUUCUAUGGUCCACAAAGGCAGAAGAUGAUGUUUAUGGGAUUUAUCCAUCUGGAAGUGUGGUACAACUUCUUCCAAGCCUGGAAUGGAGGCUUCUCUGGAAACCUGGAGGAGAAGUCUUCGUCCUCGGGGGAGUUUUUGUGGUGGGAUCAGGAAAGCAGGGCAUUCUUCUCGAGCACCGAGAAAAAGAAUUUGGAGACAAAGUAAACCUACUUUCUGUUCUGGAAGCUGCUAAGAUGAUCAAACCACAGACUUUGGCCUCAGAGAAAAAAAUGAUUGUGUGAAACUACCCAGCUCAGGGAUAACCAGGGGCAUUCACCUGUGUUCAUGGGAUGUGUUAUUUCCACUUGUGUCCCUCAGGAGUGAGAAACCCACUUAUACUCUAUUCUUAGUAUGGAUAAUUAAUGUAUUUUAAUACUCUGUUUAGGCCCAGUAAGGCAAAAUAGCCCCAAAACAAAACUGACAGAAAUCUAAAAAAGUAAUGAGAAUUAUUAAGCUAAAACCUGGAAAAUAUGAAACUUAAAAUUGACCGCUAGGCUGGGUGUGGGGGCUCAUGCCUAUAAUCCUAGCACUUUGGGAGGCCGAGGUGGGCAGGUCACUUGAGAUCAGGAGUUCAAGACCAGCUUGGGCAACUUGGCGAAACCCUGUCUCUACUAAAAAUAAAAAAACCAGCCAGGCGUGGUGGCGUGCACCUGUAGUCCCAGCUACUCGGGAGGCUGAGGUAGGAGAAUCACUUGAACCUGGGAGCUAGAGGUUGCAGUGAGCCAAGAUCAGGCCACUGCAAUCCAGCCUGGGUGACUGAGACUGCAUCUCAAAAAAAAAAAAAAAAAUUGCUGUGCCUGAUUACAAAUGUGUAUGGUGUUUGAGUGCUGCUGUUUGAAAUUUAUUUUUCUUUUCGGGUCUUCAAAAACCUAAGAAAAUGAUGAUUGACUUGAAGAUUACAGAAUUUAAGGUUUUUUGGCUUCUGUGUUUUCUGCCCUAUUUGAUUCAUAAUGUCAAAGUAAUACUUUCAUAAUAGAAUUGGCAUGCUCUGGGAUAGUUUGACAAAGGUAAAUUAUAAAGUGGAAUAUCUUGUUUCAUUGUCUUCCAUUCUAACCUCAGAGAUUUGUUUCUCUAGAAGAAAUGACCAUCUCUGGCUUUAAUAAAAUUAUGCAUCAGAAA